rnacentral:rRNA from 1 species
GACGAACCGUGCGAACGUUGUUCGGAUUCACUGGGCGUAAAGCGCGCGUAGGCGGAACUUCAAGUCCGGUCUGAAAGCCCCCGGCUCAACCGGGGAGGGUGGCUGGAAACUGGGGUUCUUGAGGGCGAGAGAGGAGGGUGGAAUUCCUGGUGUAGCGGUGAAAUGCGUAGAGAUCAGGAGGAACACCCGGGGCGAAGGCGGCCCUCUGGCUCGACCCUGACGCUGAGGCGCGAAAGCGUGGGGAGCGAACGGG